rnacentral:rRNA from 1 species
GACGAACGCUGGCGGCGUGCCUAAUACAUGCAAGUUGAGCGAUGAAGAUUGGUGCUUGCCCCAAUUUGAAGAGCAGCGAACGGGUGAGUAACGCGUGGGGAAUCUGCCUUUGAGCGGGGGACAACAUUUGGAAAUGAAUGCUAAUACCGCAUAACAACUUUAAACAUAAGUUUUAAGUUUGAAAGAUGCAAUUGCAUCACUCAAAGAUGAUCCCGCGUUGUAUUAGCUAGUUGGUGAGGUAAAGGCUCACCAAGGCGAUGAUACAUAGCCGACCUGAGAGGGUGAUCGGCCACAUUGGGACUGAGACACGGCCCAAACUCCUACGGGAGGCAGCAGUAGGGAAUCUUCGGCAAUGGACGAAAGUCUGACCGAGCAACGCCGCGUGAGUGAAGAAGGUUUUCGGAUCGUAAAACUCUGUUGGUAGAGAAGAACGUUGGUGAGAGUGGAAAGCUCAUCAAGUGACGGUAACUACCCAGAAAGGGACGGCUAACUACGUG